GAUGAACGCUGGCGGUAUGCUUAACACAUGCAAGUCGAACGGACUCUUCGGAGUUAGUGGCGGACGGGUGAGUAACGCGUGAGAAUCUGGCUUUGGGUUCGGGACAACCACUGGAAACGGUGGCUAAUACCGGAUGUGCCGAGAGGUAAAAGAGAAAUUGCCUGAAGAUGAGCUCGCGUCUGAUUAGCUAGUUGGUGAGGUAAAGGCUCACCAAGGCAGCGAUCAGUAGCUGGUCUGAGGGGAUGACCAGCCACACUGGGACUGAGACACGGCCGAGACUCCUACGGGAGGCAGGAGUGGGAAAUUUUCCGCAAUGGGCGAAAGCCUGACGGAGCAAUACCGCGUGAGAGAAGAAGGCUCUUGGGUUGUAAACCUCUUUUCUUAGGGAAGAACAGAAUGACGGUACCUAAGGAAUCAGCAUCGGCUAACUCCGUG
rnacentral:rRNA from 1 species